UAAUACGGAGGGGGCGAGCGUUGUUCGGAAUCACUGGGCGUAAAGAGUGCGUAGGCUGUUAUACAAGUCAGAAGUGAAAUCCCAGGGCUUAACCCUGGAAUUGCUUUUGAGACUGUAUGACUAGAGAUCUAGAGAGGUUGGGGGAAUUCCGAGUGUAGAGGUGAAAUUCGCAGAUAUUCGGAGGAACACCAGUGGCGUAGGCGCCCAACUGGCUAGAUACUGACGCUGAGGCACGAAAGCGUGGGGAGCAAACAGG
rnacentral:rRNA from 1 species